rnacentral:rRNA from 1 species
AGAGAUGCACUGGGUUUAAAGCGUGCGCAGGCGGUUUUGUAAGACAGAGGUGAAAUCCCCGGGCUCAACCUGGGAACUGCCUUUGUGACUGCAAGGCUGGAGUGCGGCAGAGGGGGAUGGAAUUCCGCGUAGCAGUGAAAUGCGUAGAUAUGCGGAGGAACACCGAUGGCGAAGGCAAUCCCCUGGGCCUGCACUGACGCUCAUGCACGAAAGCGUGGGGAGCAAACA